GCAGCAUUGUGGUUGCGUAGUCUCUAGCUCUCUCCCUUCAUGUCUCUGCCCAGGAUAACACAUUAAGGUGUUCCAGGAUCAGAUAGUCCCAGUGGAGAUCUAGUGCCUUGGAGCCCUGCAGGCUGGCGGGUCAGUGGGAGCCUGACAUGAGGUCACCCAGCCAACUAAACAGCUUGGCAGACUUUCAUCUGACCACCUGGGAGGCAGCUGAUUAAUCACAGGUGCUGAACCAAGCUCUCUUGAAAGGCCAAUCCACCCUGCAAUAAGAUGGGAUUUGGUAGGUCACUGUGAAUUGCGAUGGCUUCAUUAUGAAUUUCAUC